GAUGAACGCUAGCUACAGGCUUAACACAUGCAAGUCGAGGGGCAGCAUGGUCUUAGCUUGCUAAGGCCGAUGGCGACCGGCGCACGGGUGAGUAACACGUAUCCAACCUGCCGUCUACUCUUGGACAGCCUUCUGAAAGGAAGAUUAAUACAAGAUGGCAUCAUGAGUCCGCAUGUUCACAUGAUUAAAGGUAUUCCGGUAGACGAUGGGGAUGCGUUCCAUUAGAUAGUAGGCGGGGUAACGGCCCACCUAGUCUUCGAUGGAUAGGGGUUCUGAGAGGAAGGUCCCCCACAUUGGAACUGAGACACGGUCCAAACUCCUACGGGAGGCAGCAGUGAGGAAUAUUGGUCAAUGGGCGAGAGCCUGAACCAGCCAAGUAGCGUGAAGGAUGACUGCCCUAUGGGUUGUAAACUUCUUUUAUAAAGGAAUAAAGUCGGGUAUGCAUACCCGUUUGCAUGUACUUUAUGAAUAAGGAUCGGCUAACUCCGUGCCAGCAGCCGCGGUAAUACGGAGGAUCCGAGCGUUAUCCGGAUUUAUUGGGUUUAGAGGGAGCGUAGAUGGAUGUUUAAGUCAGUUGUGAAAGUUUGCGGCUCAACCGUAAAAUUGCAGUUGAUACUGGAUAUCUUGAGUGCAGUUGAGGCAGGCGGAAUUCGUGGUGUAGCGGUGAAAUGCUUAGAUAUCACGAAGAACUCCGAUUGCGAAGGCAGCCUGCUAAGCUGCAACUGACAUUGAGGCUCGAAAGUGUGGGUAUCAAACAGGAUUAGAUACCCUGGUAGUCCACACGGUAAACGAUGAAUACUCGCUGUUUGCGAUAUACGGCAAGCGGCCAAGCGAAAGCGUUAAGUAUUCCACCUGGGGAGUACGCCGGCAACGGUGAAACUCAAAGGAAUUGACGGGGGCCCGCACAAGCGGAGGAACAUGUGGUUUAAUUCGAUGAUACGCGAGGAACCUUACCCGGGCUUAAAUUGCAGAUGAAUUACGGUGAAAGCCGUAAGCCGCAAGGCAUCUGUGAAGGUGCUGCAUGGUUGUCGUCAGCUCGUGCCGUGAGGUGUCGGCUUAAGUGCCAUAACGAGCGCAACCCUUGUUGUCAGUUACUAACAGGUUCCGCUGAGGACUCUGACAAGACUGCCAUCGUAAGAUGUGAGGAAGGUGGGGAUGACGUCAAAUCAGCACGGCCCUUACGUCCGGGGCUACACACGUGUUACAAUGGGGGGUACAGAGGGCCGCUACCACGCGAGUGGAUGCCAAUCCCCAAAACCUCUCUCAGUUCGGACUGGAGUCUGCAACCCGACUCCACGAAGCUGGAUUCGCUAGGAAUCGCGCUUCAGCCACGGCGCGGUGAAUACGUUCCCGGGCCU
rnacentral:rRNA from 1 species